rnacentral:lncRNA from 1 species
UUUGUUUUUUUGUUUUUCCUUGCUGAAUACUUGGGAAAAUUGGUUUGUGUCUGUGGCAAAGGAAUUCAACAAUACUUUCAUUUUCAGGUCAGACUAUUUUAAGAAAAUAGAAGACUAUCAUUUACAGCUGGUAUGGCCCUGUGGUGGUGUGGACCCAGACUUCAAACACAGAUGAAGAUCGAAAACUGAUAUCCCGCAUCUGAUAUCAAAAGUUGAAGAAAGUGAACAAAAACAGCAGAGGAAAGUUCAUAAAAGCAGGAUGAGUUGCAGAAAAACUCCUCAGACACCGGAUUAAAGAAGGAAGAGGUUUUUUAUUUGUCCGGGAGCGUCGGCAGACUCGCGUCUUAAGAGCCGAGCUCCCCGAAAAAGAAAUUCCUAGCCCUUUUAAGGCCUUACAACUCUAAGGAGUCUACGUGAAAGAGUCAUAAUAGAUCAAGUAAGUGUGAGGAA